GAUGAACGCUGGCGGCGUGCCUAAUACAUGCAAGUCGAGCGAACAGACGAGGCGCUUGCUCCUUUGACGUUAGCGGCGGACGGGUGAGUAACACGUAGGUAACCUACCUAUAAGACUGGGAUAACUUCGGGAAACCGGAGCUAAUACCGGAUAAUAUUUCGAACCGCAUGGUUCGAUAGUGAAAGAUGGCUUUGCUAUCACUUAUAGAUGGACUUGCGCCGUAUUAGCUAGUUGGUACGGUAACGGCUUACCAAGGCAACGAUACGUAGCCGACCUGAGAGGGUGAUAGGCCACACUGGAACUGAGACACGGUCCAGACUCCUACGGGAGGCAGCAGUAGGGAAUCUUCCGCAAUGGGCGAAAGCCUGACGGAGCAACGCCGCGUGAGUGAUGAAGGUCUUCGGAUCGUAAAACUCUGUUAUUAGGGAAGAACAAACGUGUAAGUAACUGUGCACGUCUUGACGGUACCUAAUCAGAAAGCCACGGCUAACUACGUG
rnacentral:rRNA from 1 species